rnacentral:rRNA from 1 species
CACGUAGGGACCAAGCGUUGUCCGGAUUUAUUGGGCGUAAAGAGCUCGUAGGCGGUCGUGUAAGUCGGGUGUGAAAUCUCCGGGCUCAACUCGGAGGGGCCACCCGAUACUGCUCGACUCGAGUCCGGUAGGGGAGUGGGGAAUUCCUGGUGUAGCGGUGAAAUGCGUAGAGAUCCGGAAGAACACCAAUAGCGAAGGCAGUGUCCUGGCUCGUAUCUGACGCUGAGGUGCGAAAGCUAGGGGAGCGAACGGG